CUUUUUUAAAUACCAAUGGCUUUAAAUAUCUUCUGGACUGGAUUGACUUUCAUAUUCAGUAAUAUGCUUUUCUCAAAACUGGUAGUUGGUUUUGAAGACUGUUCUUCAAAUUAUCAAAGAGUUGGAAGCGCCUGCCUAGAAUGUCCCUAGGGUUAUUUUGGGAAAAACUUUCUUGUUCCUUGUCCAGAAAAGAUGUAUGGAAAAUUAUGUGCGGGAAUUCGCGAUUGCUUGCCCGAAGAAUGUGAUUUCAAGGAUGGAUGUCGCGAAC